CUCUUCCACCCCUGUCGUCUAAGUCAGGGUCUCUCUUUGGACUGAACUUGGCCCUGCAGGCCAGGUGGAUGGCCCAAGCUCCCAGGGCUCUGCCUGGCUCUGCUUCCUCUCUUGCCAUCACAGGGCUCAUAAGCCCACACAGAGCCAAGCUCUUCUACCAGUCAGGUUUUCUCAUGGCUGCCUGAUCCUUGACUCUGGGAACACCUGGUUUCCCAAGGUGGCAGCCUCCUGUUCCUCCUCUACCCUUCCCUCUCUGCAGUACCGCAUCCACUCAGUUGCUGAACAAGAGACAUCUGAGUCAUCCUUUUCCAUUCUCUCCUCCUCCCGUGCCACCAACUGGCCGCCAGACCUUAGUGCUUUUACCACCCCCAUAUUUCAAAACUGGCCGCUGCCGCUGCUCCUCACCCUGCCUCCCUGUUCUCAGCCUGCAACUCUCCCACGCCUCCUCGCUGCACGUAUGAAGAAAUCCGAGCGCCUCUGUCCAGGGAAGACUGGAUGGUAUCUUUCCUUCCUCCUCUGAAACACAGGACUAUGUUCCAGGGCUGUUCCCUCGGCUGACUCCAGGUCAUAGGGAGGCGUGGGGACAACCCAUUUUCUUCCCAGGUGAUUCCUCUCUAGUGCCCAGAGAGGGUGGUGCUGAGGUAGGUGGGAGACUCCACCCUGAAGCCUGGGAACCCGCCUUCUCACAAGUGGGCGACACCCAGGCAUUAACCCUGGUUUCUGCUUGCAGAGGCGCAGUAUCUCCCAGGCACAUGCCACACCAGGAGCACAAGGGCAGCACACCAUGCUGACAAACCAGAAUUUUAGUUCAAAUGAAAAGAAGAUGGCUUCAACCGCUUCUCUGAAACGCAGGGCCGAUCGGAAGACACCGCAAGUCCUCUUUAGCGCUUGAGUGGGCCCUCAAGCCCCUUUGCCACAUUUCCUGUCCCAGUAUUUCACUGCUAAGUGGUCAGCAGCAGCAAUAAACAGAACGGGUGAUUGUU